AGAGUUUGAUCCUGGCUCAGGAUGAACGCUAGCGGCAGGCUUAACACAUGCAAGUCGAGGGGCAGCAUAAUGGAUAGCAAUAUCUAUGGUGGCGACCGGCGCACGGGUGCGUAACGCGUAUGCAACCUACCUUUAACAGGGGGAUAACACUGAGAAAUUGGUACUAAUACCCCAUAAUAUCAUAGAAGGCAUCUUUUAUGGUUGAAAAUUCCGAUGGUUAGAGAUGGGCAUGCGUUGUAUUAGCUAGUUGGUGGGGUAACGGCUCACCAAGGCGACGAUACAUAGGGGGACUGAGAGGUUAACCCCCCACACUGGUACUGAGACACGGACCAGACUCCUACGGGAGGCAGCAGUGAGGAAUAUUGGUCAAUGGACGCAAGUCUGAACCAGCCAUGCCGCGUGCAGGAUGACGGCUCUAUGAGUUGUAAACUGCUUUUGUACGAGGGUAAACGCAGAUACGUGUAUCUGUCUGAAAGUAUCGUACGAAUAAGGAUCGGCUAACUCCGUGCCAGCAGCCGCGGUAAUACGGAGGAUCCAAGCGUUAUCCGGAUUUAUUGGGUUUAAAGGGUGCGUAGGCGGUUUGAUAAGUUAGAGGUGAAAUUUCGGGGCUCAACCCUGAACGUGCCUCUAAUACUGUUGAGCUAGAGAGUAGUUGCGGUAGGCGGAAUGUAUGGUGUAGCGGUGAAAUGCUUAGAGAUCAUACAGAACACCGAUUGCGAAGGCAGCUUACCAAACUAUAUCUGACGUUGAGGCACGAAAGCGUGGGGAGCAAACAGGAUUAGAUACCCUGGUAGUCCACGCAGUAAACGAUGAUAACUCGUUGUCGGCGAUACACAGUCGGUGACUAAGCGAAAGCGAUAAGUUAUCCACCUGGGGAGUACGUUCGCAAGAAUGAAACUCAAAGGAAUUGACGGGGGCCCGCACAAGCGGAGGAACAUGUGGUUUAAUUCGAUGAUACGCGAGGAACCUUACCCGGGCUUGAAAGUUAGCGACGAUUCUUGAAAGAGGAUUUCCCUUCGGGGCGCGAAACUAGGUGCUGCAUGGUUGUCGUCAGCUCGUGCCGUGAGGUGUCGGGUUAAGUCCCAUAACGAGCGCAACCCCUACCGUUAGUUGCCAUCAGGUCAAGCUGGGCACUCUGGCGGGACUGCCGGUGUAAGCCGAGAGGAAGGUGGGGAUGACGUCAAAUCAGCACGGCCCUUACGUCCG
rnacentral:rRNA from 1 species